rnacentral:rRNA from 1 species
AGUGAACGCUGGCGGUAGGCCUAACACAUGCAAGUCGAACGGCAGCACACUAAGAGCUUGCUCUUACGGGUGGCGAGUGGCGGACGGGUGAGGAACACAUCGGAAUCUACUUUUUCGUGGGGGAUAACGUAGGGAAACUUACGCUAAUACCGCAUACGACCUACGGGUGAAAGCAGGGGAUCUUCGGACCUUGCGCGAUUGAAUGAGCCGAUGUCGGAUUAGCUAGUUGGCGGGGUAAAGGCCGACCAAGGCGACGAUCCGUAGCUGGUCUGAGAGGAAGGGCGGCGGAACUGGGAUGGGGACAAGGGCGAGAGUACUGAGGGAGGCAGCAGUGGGGGGUAGUGGACAGGGGGCGGAAGGCUGAUGCAGAGAGGUCGCGAGAGGGAGGGAGGCCUUCGGGUUGGGAACCUCGUGCUCCGGGGGUGAAGGCCCCGCCCUUGGUGGUGGGGUUGACGGUAGCGGGGUAUGAAGCGCCGGCUAACUACGUG